CAGGACGACGCUGGCGGCGUGCCUAACACAUGCAAGUCGAACGGGGAUUUGUUUCGGCAGAAUCCUAGUGGCGAACGGGUGAGUAACGCGUAGGCAACCUGCCCUCCGGCCGGGGACAACACUCCGAAAGGGGUGCUAAUACCGGAUACGAAGUCUGUGCCGCAUGGUACGGAUUUGAAAGAUGGCCUCUAUUUAUAAGCUAUCGCCGGGGGAUGGGCCUGCGUCCGAUUAGCUGGUUGGUGGGGUAACGGCCUACCAAGGCGACGAUCGGUAGCCGGUCUGAGAGGAUGAACGGCCACAUUGGGACUGAGACACGGCCCAGACUCCUACGGGGGGCAGCAGUGGGGAAUCUUCCGCAAUGGGCGCAAGCCUGACGGAGCAACGCCGCCGUGAGUGAGGAAGUUCUUCGGAACGUAAAGCUCUGUUGUUCCUGACGAACCUCCCCUCUAUCAACAACGGAGGGGACUGACGGUAGGGAACGAGGAAGCCACGGCUAACUACGUGCCAGCCGCAGC
rnacentral:rRNA from 1 species